rnacentral:rRNA from 1 species
UACGUAGGAUGCAAGCGUUGUCCGGAAUUAUUGGGCGUAAAGAGCGCGCAGGCGGUCUAUCAAGUCAGAUGUGAAAUAUCCCGGCUUAACCGGGAGGGGUCAUUUGAAACUGGUAGACUAGAGUACAGCAGAGGAUAGCGGAAUUCCCGGUGUAGUGGUGAAAUGCGUAGAUAUCGGGAGGAACACCAGUGGCGAAAGCGGCUCACUGGACCAUUACUGACGCUGAUGCUCGAAAGCUAGGGGAGCAAACAGG